GAUGAACGCUAGCUACAGGCUUAACACAUGCAAGUCGAGGGACCGGCGCACGGGUGAGUAACACGUAUCCAACCUGCCCUUUACUCGGGGAUAGCCUUUCGAAAGAAAGAUUAAUACCCGAUAUAAAGGAUGGGGAUGCGUUCUUUUAGGUUGUUGGUAAGGUAACGGCCAACCAAGCCUUCGAUGGAUAGGGGUUCUGAGAGGAAGUUCCCCCAGAUUGGAACCGCGGCACGGUCCAAACUGUUAGGGGAGGCAGCAGUGAGGAAUAUUGGUGAAUGGGCGCUAGCCUGAACCAGCCAAGUGUCGUGAAGGAGUAAGGCUUAUGGGUCGUAAACUUCUUUUAUAGAAGAAUAUUUAUUAUAUGAAUAAGGAUCGGCUAACUCCGUGCCAGCAGCCGCGGUAAUUC
rnacentral:rRNA from 1 species